rnacentral:lncRNA from 1 species
ACCUCCUUAAUAUUGGUGUUGCUCUUUGCAGCCAACCACCUAAACAUCCUUGGAUGAAAAACCUCAUCCGGGUAAUCCAUUAACUGCUUUCGGAGGGGAGGAAUGGCAUCAAAUGCCCAAGCCCAAAAAGUGUAAACAGGAAGCAAGCAAAAAAAAAUCAUAAUAACUAUAUUCAAUAUAAAUUAAUGGAUGAGUAAAAUUAGUGAUUAAUUUUACCAUGAAAGCCCAAGGAAAG